rnacentral:rRNA from 1 species
UGCAAGUCGAACGAGAAUCUACUGAAAGAGUUUUCGGACAAUGGAUGUAGAGGAAAGUGGCGGACGGGUGAGCAACGCGUGAGGAACCUGCCUUGAAGAGGGGGACAACAGUUGGAAACGACUGCUAAUACCGCAUAACGCAUAGGGGUCGCAUGAUCUUUAUGCCAAAGAUUUAUUGCUUCAAGAUGGCCUCGCGUCUGAUUAGCUAGUUGGCGGGGUAACGGCCCACCAAGGCGACGAUCAGUAGCCGGACUGAGAGGUUGAACGGCCACAUUGGGACUGAGAUACGGCCCAGACUCCUACGGGAGGCAGCAGUGGGGAAUAUUGGGCAAUGGGCGCAAGCCUGACCCAGCAACGCCGCGUGAAGGAAGAAGGCUUUCGGGUUGUAAACUUCUUUUAAGAGGGAAGAGUAGAAGACGGUACCUCUAGAAUAAGCCACGGCUAACUACGUGCCAGCAGCCGCGGUAAUACGUAGGUGGCAAGCGUUGUCCGGAUUUACUGGGUGUAAAGGGCGUGCAGCCGGGUCUGCAAGUCAGAUGUGAAAUCCAUGGGCUCAACCCAUGAACUGCAUUUGAAACUGUAGAUCUUGAGUGUCGGAGGGGCAAUCGGAAUUCCUAGUGUAGCGGUGAAAUGCGUAGAUAUUAGGAGGAACACCAGUGGCGAAGGCGGAUUGCUGGACGAUAACUGACGGUGAGGCGCGAAAGUGUGGGGAGCAAACAGGAUUAGAUACCCUGGUAGUCCACACUGUAAACGAUGAAUACUAGGUGUGCGGGGACUGACCCCCUGCGUGCCGCAGUAAACACAAUAAGUAUUCCACCUGGGGAGUACGAUCGCAAGGUUGAAACUCAAAGGAAUUGACGGGGGCCCGCACAAGCGGUGGAUUAUGUGGUUUAAUUCG